AGCGGGGCCUUCGAUAGCUCAGUUGGUAG
rnacentral:piRNA from 1 species